UAGACAACCAGGAGGUUGGCUUGGAAGCAGCCAUCCUUGAAAGAGUGCGUAAUAGCUCACUGGUCAAGUGAUUCCGCGCCGAUAAUGUAGCGGGGCUUAAGUUAUCCGCCGAAGCUGUGGCAACCUGUGUGGUUGGGUAGGGGAGCGUCGUGUCAGUGGUGAAGCUGCCGGGUGACUGUGUGGUGGAGUUGAUGCGAGUGAGAAUGCAGGCAUGAGUAGCGUGUGACGGGUGGGAAUCCCGUCCGCCGAUUAUCCAAGGGUUCCAGGGUCAAGUUUGUCUGCCCUGGGUGAGUCGGGUCCUAAGGCGAGGCCGACAGGCGUAGUCGAUGGGUAACCAGUUGAUAUUCUGGUACCGGCUUGUCACCGUCCGUGUCGAGGUGUGUGAUGCUAAGCAUGUGAGCUUGUCUUGGGAGUGUUUUUGAUGCUUCUGGGGUGGGUGAGUGUGUGAACCGAUCAUGUAGUAGGCAAGCUGCGGAGGGACGCAGUGAGGUAGCUCAUCCCCGGUGAUGGUUGUCCGGGGCUAAGUGUGUGGACUGUCUGGUAGGUAAAUCCGCUGGGCGUGAAGGUUGAGGCAUGAUGGGGAGCCCACGGUUGUGGGUGAGUGAGUGAUCCUGUACUGUCGAGAAAAGCUUCGUGAGCGAGGUGGCGGGUCCGCCCGUACCCUAAACCGACACUGGUGGAUAGGUAGAGUAUACCGAGGCGAUCGAGUGAAUCGUGGUGAAGGAACUCGGCAAAAUGCCCCCGUAACUUUGGGAUAAGGGGGACCUGAGCUGUCGUGCACCCGUGCGGUGUGGUGGCGGUGAGGGGCGCAGAGUCCAGGGGGAAACGACUGUUUACCAAAAACACAGGUCCGUGCGAAGUCGUAAGACGAUGUAUACGGACUGACUCCUGCCCGGUGCUGGAAGGUUAAGGGGAACUGUGAGUGUAUGCGUAGCGGUGAACUUAAGCCCCAGUAAACGGCGGUGGUAACUAUAACCAUCCUAAGGUAGCGAAAUUCCUUGUCGGGUAAGUUCCGACCUGCACGAAUGGAGUAACGAUUUCCCUACUGUCUCCACCAUGAACUCGGUGAAAUUGCAUUACGAGUAAAGAUGCUCGUUACGCGCAGCAGGACGGAAAGACCCCGGGACCUUUACUAUAG
rnacentral:rRNA from 1 species